rnacentral:rRNA from 1 species
AGUGAACGCUGGCGGUAGGCCUAACACAUGCAAGUCGAACGGCAGCACAGUAAGAGCUUGCUCUUACGGGUGGCGAGUGGCGGACGGGUGAGGAAUACAUCGGAAUCUACUUUUUCGUGGGGGAUAACGUAGGGUAACUUACGCUACUACCGCAUACGACCUACGGGUGAAAGCAGGGGAUCUUCGGACCUUGCGCGAUUGAAUGAGCCGAUGUCGGAUUAGCUAGUUGGCGGGGUAAAGGCCCACCAAGGCGACGAUCCGUAGCUGGUCUGAGAGGAUGAUCAGCCACACUGGAACUGAGACACGGUCCAGACUCCUACGGGAGGCAGCAGUGGGGAAUAUUGGACAAUGGGCGCAAGCCUGAUCCAGCCAUACCGCGUGGGUGAAGAAGGCCUUCGGGUUGUAAAGCCCUUUUGUUGGGAAAGAAAAGCAGCAGGUUAAUACCCCGCUGUUCUGACGGUACCCAAAGAAUAAGCACCGGCUAACUUCGUG